rnacentral:rRNA from 1 species
UUGAACCUACGGGGCGCAGCAGUGAGGAAUAUUGGUCAAUGGGCGGGAUCCUGAACCAGCCAAGUCGCGUGAAGGAAGAAGGUACUUAGUAUUGUAAACUUCUUUUGUCGGGGAACAAAGGCGGAGACGCGUCUCCGGAUGAGUGUACCCGAAGAAAAAGCAUCGGCUAACUCCGUGCCAGCAGCCGCGGUAAUACGGAGGAUGCGAGCGUUAUCCGGAUUUAUUGGGUUUAAAGGGUGCGCAGGCGGGUG